UACGAAGGGUGCAAGCGUUACUCGGAAUUACUGGGCGUAAAGCGUGCGUAGGUGGUUUGUUAAGUCUGAUGUGAAAGCCCUGGGCUCAACCUGGGAAUUGCAUUGGAUACUGGCAGGCUAGAGUGCGGUAGAGGGUGGUGGAAUUUCCUGUGUAGCGGUGAAAUGCGUAGAUAUAGGAAGGAACACCAGUGGCGAAGGCGACCACCUGGACUGAUACUGACACUGAGGUGCGAAAGCGUGGGGAUCAAACAGG
rnacentral:rRNA from 1 species